ensembl:lncRNA
CUUCAACAUCUAUCAAACAGAAAUGUUGUCAUUGCAUUCUCAUGCAUCAUCUGGGUUCACUGUAUGAGCAAAAGGCUUAGGAAUAUGGUAGCUGCGGUGGGAUUGUAGAAGCAAUGUGUAGGAAGGGAAGGGUGCCGUAUACCUGGAAGGAUUUUCAGUGGUCAGACCCUGAUACUCUGUAGCUCUAAAAUCUGAUGAGCUUCAUCAUGAUGGGAUCCAGUCUAGCUGAAGAAAUGUGCUGUAGUUUAGGUGAAGUGCUUGUUUUGACUACGGGAUGAAAAAAGGGAGCAAGUAGGAGACUGAUCUGCCUGUGGGUGUAGCUCAGGCUCCGUGAGAGGGGAUGGCGAUGGUGAAGUUGUAUAGCAAGGAGCUAUUGGUUCUAACCAUUACUGCAAAUUCAAACCAAGGAUAAUCCCUUGUAGAAUCUCUGUGAGACUUUUCUGGGAAUAAUCCAGGUAAAAGUGGGGAGACUUGAUUCAAUCCAUUAUUCAUAAUCACUCAUGUAUCUCCAGAUGUACUUUUAUCUUACUGUUCCCUGGGACUUUAUACAUCCCCUCUGAAGACUACAUAAACUUGGGAGAUCCAGGCAGAUCUUUGCUCGGUGGCACUAACUACCACAACUGCUUUGUUCCCAGUGUCUAAUAGCAGCUGGUUGUGCUGUAGGAUUCAUACUGUGGAAAACUAAACCACCUUUUCAGGAUAAUAAUAUGUCCAUCCUUCACACUGCAAAUAUUUUAGGAUUUCAUGCAACGUGACUCAAGAUGAUACUGAAAAAGGGGCUUGUUUGGCCUGUUAGCCAUAUUAAACUUCUGGGUGUUCAUGAGAGAAUACCCGCUGUUUUAGGUCACCAGUCUACUUGGACUAUAAGAUGUUACAUAUUGCCUUUUCAUCUUCUACUAUGAUCCCAAAUUGUGUUGGCAAUAGCUAGGCUAAUUGUAGGAAUUUUCUGUCUGGAAGUUCAUCAGGAAUACCACCAUACCAAUAUUAACACAGGUUCUACUAGCAUUCCCCCUCCUCGGUUUGAAGCAGAAGGGAAGUUGGAGUACAGGAUCAAGCCCCUAAUUUGUUACUUACAUUUGAUGUGAAGCUUGGUGUCCAAGGUCAGGCUCAGAGGUUAGCAGAAUAACUCACGCCUGAGAGCAACUCAUCAUGUUAGACAGAAAGCAAUUUGGUCCAAGGCACAGCGUGUUGGAACACUGCCACUUCCUUUCUCUUUCAGUACUCUUCUGCAUUCUCACUGCUGUAAACAGCCUCCUCCUUUCUCUCCGAGUGGAACCGGGCUUCCUUCCUGAAGCCUUCCCAAAUUCAAAUUGCAUUUGGCGAUAAUUUUCUAUUUGUGUUUGAUACAAAAGUUUUCAAAGGAACUCCACAGACACUAAUCAGGGUAAAAACGCAAAUCUAAAAUCAGUCUUAUUCUAAUGUUUCCUUUGGAAACCAUUUAAUUUCUUGCAAGCGCACUUUGGCAGAUGAUGUGGCCCUUACGGUAAUAAAUCAAGGGAGCGUGAGACACUUCACUGCAGCUGCAGCACGGCUAGUUAGGAUCCUAUUCAAGAAAAGGCUUAGGCAGUGUAUUUUCUUUCCUGUACUCGGCUGUACCAUUUCUCCUCCUUAUAGAUCAAGUGAAAAGACUCUCAGAAUGCUCUUAUAAUUGUCUCCUUGGAGUUACAAUCUGCAAAUGCUUUUUCUAGAAGAUAAAAAUACCCAGAUUUUAAUGGAGCCUUUUAAAAUGGCACGUCAUUAACUCUCCAACCUCCUUCACGGUUUUGUAAAUCUCUUUAAUAAGGGUGAGAAGAAGCUUAGAGAGGUCUCUUUGAUUAAAGGUUUGACCUGGAAUUGCUUUGAAUUUGUAUUAUGGAGUCAGCAGGUUUACCGAGGUGGUCUGAGCAGAGAAUCUUUUGAAUUACUUUGCAGGUAGAGCUGUAAAGAGAAUAAGUAUUAUAUAAAACUUCCUAAAACCACAGCAGAACCAAUUAACCAUCAAAGGACUGUGCUGAAAAGCCGAAUCCACAGAGCACGGGGAGCAAAGCGCCUUGCUAGCUUACAGCCUGAGUGAGCCAUGUUUGAAUUCCUGUGGCAGAGCCUCCAGGCUAGGAGGUUCAGUGCUCCUGAGGCUCCUCCAGGUGAGGAGGUUCAGUGCUUCCGAGGCCCCUCCAGCCUCGGGGCUCCUGCAGGCUUCUAGCACUUUUGAGGAAUGGCUCAAUUCAGCAAGAAAUAGGAUCAAGCCAGUGAGUUCCAUGGACCUGACCGUGCUCAGUGCUAUGCCACCAUGCAUGAUUAGGCUCUGAGGAAGUGAUCAAGGACCAGGUUGGAUGUGGC